GGGAGGCGGCGCGAGGUCGUACGCGGCUGGCGCGCGCACGCAGGAGGCGUGGCUGCGCGACGCGGCGUCGUCGUAGGCGCCGCUCUUGUUCGGCUCCGGUCUUCACAGCUCCCGCGGAAGGGUGGCGCUGGGACUCUCGCCCUCGGGAGCAGACCGCACGGUCUCGGAUUGCAGACCUGUGGAUGCUAUUGGCGGGCACUUCGGAUAGCCGCUGAUUUCCUCGGAUGGUGUGGCCUGCGUCCGACAGUCCCAUCAGCUCUUCCCAGCUCUACUGAGGUCGCGGCUGUCUGCUCCCCUGCUCCUCGGCAUUUGCCCGGAACGGCCUGGCCCUGCCUCGCCCCCGCCUGGCCCAUCUCUAUCCUGUGUGUCCCGCACCUGGCCACUUCUGCCCAUAUCGUCUCUUCUCCCACUCUCCUUCCUUCCUUCUCCUAGCUGGUGUGUAAACCCUCCAGCUCCCAGCAUGCUUGUGGCUGGCACCAGCAGCAGGGCCCUCAUCACCCUGUCCAGGCAGCCACCAGUUACGCCAAUACCUGGCCCUAGCAGCAGAUGGACCGACCCUCGGCUGGGAUCAUGCACACCCGCCUGGUAGACCCCUGGAUUGCGUGGCCCUGCUGUGGGGACCCUG
rnacentral:lncRNA from 1 species